AUUAAUACUUGAUGGUGUUUCAAUUCCGUAUGUUAUAGAAACUAAARAUUUAUCRGKAUCGGAUGGGGAUGCGUGACAUUAGAUAGUAGGCGGGGUAACGGCCCACCUAGUCUACGAUGUCUAGGGGUUCUGARAGGAASGUCCCCCUUCUGGAACUGACACACUUCCCARACUCCUACGGGAGGCAKCMCUGAGGAAUAUUGGUCAAUGGUCGGAAGACUGAACCGGCCAAGUAUSGUGWAGGAUGAAGGUUCUAUGGAUUGYAAACUUCUUUUAUACUGGAAUAAAACCUCCCACGUGUGGGAUCUUGUAUGUACCGUAUGAAUAAGCAUCGGCUAACUCCGUGCCAGCAGCCGCGGUAAUACGGAGGAUGCGAGCGUUAUCCGGAUUUAUUGGGUUUAAAGGGAGCGUAGACGGGAGAUUAAGUCAGUUGUGAAAGGCUGCGGCUCAACCGCAGCACUGCAGUUGAUACUGGUUUCCUUGAGUGCGGUUGAGGUGUAUGGAAUUCGUGGUGUAGCGGUGAAAUGCUUAGAUAUCACGAAGAACUCCGAUUGCGAAGGCAGUACACUAAGCCGUAACUGACGUUGAGGCUCGAAAGUGUGGGUAUCAAACAGGAUUAGAUACCCUGGUAGUCCACACGGUAAACGAUGAAUACUCGCUGUUGGCGAUAUACUGUCAGCGGCCAAGCGAAAGCAUUAAGUAUUCCACCUGGGGAGUACGCCGGCAACGGUGAAACUCAAAGGAAUUGACGGGGGCCCGCACAAGCGGAGGAACAUGUGGUUUAAUUCGAUGAUACGCGAGGAACCUUACCCGGGCUUAAAUUGCGCUGGACAGAUUGGGAGACCAAUCCUUCUUCGGACCAGUGUGAAGGUGCUGCAUGGUUGUCGUCAGCUCGUGCCGUGAGGUGUCGGCUUAAGUGCCAUAACGAGCGCAACCCUUGCCAUUAGUUACUAACAGGUCAUGCUGAGGACUCUAGUGGGACUGCCAUCGUAAGAUGUGAGGAAGGUGGGGAUGACGUCAAAUCAGCACGGCCCUUACGUCCGGGGCUACACACGUGUUACAAUGGGAGGUACAGAAGGCUGCUACCCGGCGACGGGAUGCCAAUCCCCAAAACCUCUCUCAGUUCGGAUUGGAAUC
rnacentral:rRNA from 1 species